rnacentral:rRNA from 1 species
GACGAACGCUGGCGGCGUGCUUAACACAUGCAAGUCGAACGAGAGCGUAGAGAAAGCUUGCUUUUUCUACAAUCUAGUGGCAAACGGGUGAGUAACGCGUAAACAACCUGCCCUACGGAUGGGGACAACAGCUGGAAACGGCUGCUAAUACCGAAUACGUUCCGAAAGUCGCAUGACUAUCGGAAGAAAGGAUGGCCUCUAUUUAUAAGCUAUCGCCGGAGGAGGGGUUUGCGUCUGAUUAGCUAGUUGGAGGGGUAACGGCCCACCAAGGCGACGAUCAGUAGCCGGUCUGAGAGGAUGAACGGCCACAUUGGAACUGAGACACGGUCCAGACUCCUACGGGAGGCAGCAGUGGGGAAUCUUCCGCAAUGGGCGAAAGCCUGACGGAGCAACGCCGCGUGAGUGAAGACGGCCUUCGGGUUGUAAAGCUCGGUUAUACGGGACGAAUAAUCUUGUGGUUAAUACCCAUGAGAAGUGACGGUACCGUAAGAGAAAGCCACGGCUAACUACGUG